rnacentral:sRNA from 1 species
AAGGGUAAAAAUGAGGGUCCCUGUGUUUGAGGAUGUAAAAGAUGAAACGGAAGAAGAAAAAAUAGGGGAAGAAGAAAAUGAAGAAGACCAGGUCUUCUAUAAGCCUGUUAUUGAAGACUUAAGCAUGGAAUUGGCCAGAAAAUGCACGGAACUCAUUAGCGAUAUCCAUUAUAAAGAAGAGUUUAAAAAGUCCAAGGAUAAGUGUACAUUUGUGACUGACACUCCGAUGCUAAACCAUGUAAAAAAUAUUGGUGCUUUUAUUUCUGAGGCAAAAUACAAAGGCACCAUUAAAGCGGACCUUUCUAAUUCUCUUUACAAGCGGAUGCCAGCCACAAUUGACAGUGUUUUUGCAAGAGAAGUUACACAGCUCCAGAGUGAGGUGGCCUACAAGCAGAAACAUGAUGCCGCCAAAGGAUUCUCAGAUUAUGCCCACAUGAAGGAGCCCCCUGAGGUUAAACAUGCCAUGGAGGUCAAUAAACACCAGAGUAAUAUUUCUUAUAGGAAAGACGUGCAGGACACCCACACGUACAGUGCAGAGCUUGACCGACCGGACAUCAAGAUGGCAACCCAGAUCUCUAAGAUCAUAAGCAAUGCAGAAUACAAGAAAGGGCAAGGAAUAAUGAAUAAAGAGCCCGCUGUAAUUGGAAGACCAGAUUUUGAACAUGCCGUGGAAGCUUCUAAACUUUCUAGUCAAGUAAGGCUUUAGUGAUGAUUCUAUAAUGACUUUAUUCAGAUAUUUUGUUUCUAGCAGCACAGGAAAAUAUUUCAUUUUAGAUAAUAUCUUUAAUUGCAAGGAUAAACAGAGAUAAUGUUUCUGAACCCAUUUCAGAUGGGCUUGCAAUCAUGAAUUUCAAUAAAGGAAAAAAAUUAAGUCUAAUUUUAAGCAUAAAGCAAAGUUUUCUUUUCUCCAGGCAUAAAUCUGAACAUUUUUCAAUGUCUCUAGCCAUGUUGUCACAUUUCCCUGGAUUUCCAGAAGUCAUUAAUAGUCAUACCAAAUAAUUGUGUUUUAAUCUACACACACACACACACACACACACAGUUUUUAACUUAGUAAUAAAAAUAUUAAUUUUCCCAAUUGUCAAGUGUUUUUGUUUAAUCACAAAAUUUAAAAGGGGAGAUGAAAAUGAAGAAAACUUUGAAGUCUUAUCAAAGAGCAUAAAAUAAGAUCUGAAAAAGUAUAAAGGCAGUUUAUGUUUUUGGCUGAAAGUUUCAAUAGAUAAAGAUGUCAGUUCUUUCAGAGCUAUAUAAAUGUCAUGCAACUUCUAUUAGAAUCCAACAGUGUGUUUUUUUUUUUUAAUAUGGAUAAAAUGAUCUUAAAGUUUGUGUGGAAAGAAAAUACCAGGGAAUAGCCUUUGAAAGUAUGAAAAUGAAGACCAGUGAAGGGGAACUUAAGUUAUGAGUUACUAUAAGUUAAUAGAAAACCACUGAAAUUAAGUCAAUAUGGGAUUGGUGUAGUGAGAGAUUAAAUAAUCAGUAGGAUAGAAUAGGGAGUCCUGAAAUAGAUUCCAACAUGUAUAAGAAUUUAAUAUAUGAUAAAAGUGUCGAUUCAAGUCAGUGGGGAGAAGUUGGAUUAGCUAAUAAAUGGUGCU